GGGGCUGCUCCUAGUACGAGAGGACCGGAGUGGACGCAUCACUGGUGUUCGGGUUGUCAUGCCAAUGGCACUGCCCGGUAGCUAAAUGCGGAAGAGAUAAGUGCUGAAAGCAUCUAAGCACGAAACUUGCCCCGAGAUGAGUUCUCCCUGACUCCUUGAGAGUCCUGAAGGAACGUUGAAGACGACGACGUUGAUAGGCCGGGUGUGUAAGCGCAGCGAUGCGUUGAGCUAACCGGUACUAAUGAACCGUGAGGCUUAACCUUACAACGCCGAAGGUGUUU
rnacentral:rRNA from 1 species